rnacentral:rRNA from 1 species
CUAAAGUAGAUGAUUUAUAUUACUUGUGAUAUAAAUUUUGAAACUUUAGUGAGUAGGAAGGUACAAUGGUAAGCGUAGAAGUGUUUGGCGUAAGCCUGCAUGGAGCUGCCAUUGGCACAGAUCUUGGUGGUAGUAGCAAAUAAUCGAAUGAGACCUUGGAGGACUGAAGUGGAGAAGGGUUUCGUGUGAACAGUGGUUGAUCACGAGUUAGUCGGUCCUAAGUUCAAGGCGAAAGCCGAAAAUUUUCAAGUAAAAAAUCAAUAAGCAUAUAUUGUCAAAUCUUUAAUGAUUUUUUUGAAACACUUGAAUAAUUUUGAACGAAAGGGAAUACGGUUCCAAUUCCGUAACCUGUUGAGUAUCCGUUUGUUAUUAAAUAUGGGCCUCGUGCUCAUCCUGGCAACAGGAACGACCAUAAAGAAGCCGUCGAGAGAUAUCGGAAGAGUUUUCUUUUCUGUUUUAUAGCCGUACUACCAUGGAAGUCUUUCGCAGAGAGAUAUGGUAGAUGGGCUAGAAGAGCAUGACAUAUACUGUUGUGUCGAUAUUUUCUCCUCGGACCUUGAAAAUUUAUGGUGGGGACACGCAAACUUCUCAA